AUAUUUUUAUUCACGUCUGCAAACGGCCCAUGUAUGUAAAGACCCGCAAGCUUCUCAACGCUAUUAGACCGGUCAAGUGCCGAAUUAGCCGAUAAUAACUGGAUUAGUUUAACACGAACGAUAAUUAAUAGGAAUUAAUCUAACAACGAUCUAGAUACCAAACUAUUACCAUCGGUUAGAUCUCGAAAAGUUAUGCGAAAUGGACUACUCACAGGCGUCAUUCAGACACUGGGUGAAUAAGAUUUAUCAAUUUGGUUUCGGAGGGUAAAUUGAUAAUUUUGGGAUAUUACCAUUGUGGCUCCACGUGUCAAUGAGAGUGGGUGUCUCAGCAAAUUCUGGCCGGCCUUAUCCCCAACCCAUUCGAAGAGAAAAUUCAUUCUCUUAUCUUUCUUCUUCUUUUCUUCUGCUUUUGUUCAUCGCCUCCGGCGAUUUUGUGUGAUGAUUCUGAGGUCGAAAUCAAAGAGAACUUAGGGGAAACUUUAGGAAUUGAUAACUGGUGCUGAUGUUGUUGUUAAUUGAGUUCGGGAGAAGAAAGAGGGGAUGCUGCUGUAAGAUUGAAUUAGGGUUUGAGAUUAUUUGAGAAUUGAUAAGUUAAACGAGGUGUUAACAGAUGAAGAAAGCUUGGGUUGCUGUUUAAUUGAAGUUGCAGAGUUGUUCUAGUGAUUGAAUCCAAAGUUGGGUUCAUGUGUUCUUCCCCGAAUUAGAAUUAGGGUUUGUAAGAAGUUCAAAGAAGAAUUUAAAGAUGAAAUUGAGAGUUUAAAGAGAAUAUUUGAUAUGGGUAUUGAUUGAUUGGACGAAUUGGGGUUAGAGAAGAAGAGUAUUUCAAGUUUGAUGAAGUUAAGGUUUUGAACUGAUUGUGAAGCUAGGCUUUGCUUCUGUUGAUAAAGAAAUGAUGGAGAUAUCUUUGGUGAUGAACAAAUUGAUGUUUGAGCAAAUCUGAGUUGAGGUAAGUCUCUUCUUAAUAACUUACUAAAGCUAUUGAUUUCAGUUAAUGAGUUUAUGAGUUCAUUGAUGAUGAUGAAUAUACUAUGAAACUGUAUGUUGAGAUGGUAUAGUGUGGAAUGGUUUUGUGGCUGUAACUUGGGGUUGGAUGUGAAUUGCAUGAAGAGAAAAGAUGGUGUUGCCACUGUUUUAGAAGGAUUAAGGUUUAUAUGAAUGAAUUAUGUCAAGGUAUGGAACUGUUGCAGAUGAUGAAUAAGAGCUAAAGGGUGGUUCUGUAUAAGUUGAGAAUUGAAAGUGAAAUGAUGAGUAUGCAGUGGUGUUGUGUACAUGGUUUAGGUUGUGUUUGAUUUACAGGAAGAGGGUAUGUUUUGCGAUGAAUGCAGGGAAGAAAUGAAAUAGGGUAUUGAUAUUGUUGUGUUUGAUUUACAGGAAGAGGGUAUGUUUUGCGAUGAAUGCAGGGAAGAAAUGAAAUAGGGUAUUAAUAUUGUUGUGUAUGAAUGGAUAGUGAAGAGAGUUUUUUUGAGGCAAGACUGAUUGUUAUUUGAAACUGGGAUUGAAGGUGAUAUGGUAACACAAUUAAGAGUUGGAGUGUAUGAAGUGGGUUUAUGGGAUUUUGGUUAUGAUUGAGUUACAGAAGACAUGGAUAAAUCUAGAGGUUCAGUUGAACUGGUAGUGUUGGUUGUGUUGAGAUAGAGAUGAGUUGGUGCAGGUGGAAUGGGAAAGACAAGAUGUGGUUGGUUAAUUGGUGGGUAUAUGUUGAGUUGCAGAUAUAGCUAAUGUGAGUUUAGGUAUGUAAACUGAAUCUAGUGGAUGAUAAUGUUGAUGUUGAAGUUCAGAUUGAGUUACAUGAAGGUAAGUUGUAGCUAAGGUUAGUGGUAGUGUUGUAUGGGAUUCUCUGAUGAAAUCUGGUGAUGGUUUGUUAGUUAGAGAAGUGUUUUUGGAUGUAAUAAUAUGGCUUGAGGACAGUCUCUACAAAGGCUUGUCACUGCAAUUGCAGGUAAGCUGAUUUGUGAUUAAGAAUGUACUUGUGAAUUUAUUUGUAUUCAAUGUAUUGUUAUUUGAAAUUAUAGUU